rnacentral:rRNA from 1 species
GACGAACGCUGGCGGCGUGCUUAACACAUGCAAGUCGAACGGAAAGGCCAGUGCUUGCACUGGUGCUCGAGUGGCGAACGGGUGAGUAACACGUGGGUGAUCUGCCUUGCACUCUGGGAUAAGCUUGGGAAACUGGGUCUAAUACCGGAUAGGAACCGUCUUUAGUGUGGUGGUUGGAAAGUUUUUUCGGUGCAAGAUGAGCUCGCGGCCUAUCAGCUUGUUGGUGGGGUAAUGGCCUACCAAGGCGUCGACGGGUAGCCGGCCUGAGAGGGUGUACGGCCACAUUGGGACUGAGAUACGGCCCAGACUCCUACGGGAGGCAGCAGUGGGGAAUAUUGCACAAUGGGCGGAAGCCUGAUGCAGCGACGCCGCGGGGGGGAUGACGGCCUUCGGGUUGUAAACUCCUUUCGACAGGGACGAAGCGUUAUGUGACGGUACCUGUAUAAGAAGCACCGGCUAACUACGUG